GCCGAUAUAGCUCAGUUGGUAGAGCUGCGCAUUCGUAAUGCGAAGGUCGGAGGUUCGACUCCUCUUAUCGGCACCA
rnacentral:tRNA from 3 species